CUAUUCAUGUGAGAGCCAGUGACGGUCUAGAGCCGUGGUUGGCCAACCGUGGCUCGCGAGCCACAUGUGGCUCUUUGGCCCCUUGAGUGUGGCUCUUCCACAAAAUACCACGUGC